AUAGAGACUCAGAGCUGCAUAUCAAUAAGCGGAGGAAAAGAAACUAACAAGGAUUCCCUUAGUAACGGCGAGUGAAGCGGGAAGAGCUCAAAUUUGAAAUCUUCAAGGUUCUACCUUGACGAAUUGUAGUUUAAAGAAGUGUUUUCUGUUAGUAGAGUUGGCUAAAAGUUCUUUGGAAUAGGACAUCAUAGAGGGUGAGAAUCCCGUAUUUGGUACCAUUCUUUCUAGCUGUGUGAUACACUUUCAAAGAGUCGGAUUGUUUGGGAAUGCAGUCCAAAAUGGGUGGUAAAUUUCAUCUAAAGCUAAAUAUUGGCGAGAGACCGAUAGCGAACAAGUACCGUGAGGGAAAGAUGAAAAGAACUUUGAAAAGAGAGUUAAACAGUACGUGAAAUUGUCAAAAGGGAAGCGUUUGACACCAGUGUUGUUUUUCCGAAAAAUCAAUUACGAAUGUUUUGUUUUUAAGGAGUUAUGACUUCAUCGGCUUGCUUCUUUCUUUACGAAACUCUCUUAAUGCACUUUUCGGUUAACAAGUCAACAUCAAUUUCUUUUGCUGUAAAAUGGUCAUUGAGGAAGGUGGCUUUCUUUUCGGAGAAAGUGUUUAUAGCCUUUGGCCUCUGCAAUCGGAGAGAUUGAGGUCUGCAGCGUAGAUCCUUCGGGGUUAGAUGCAUUUGUGCUAAGCUAUAGUUCUUUAUAGACAACUUGUUGACUAAUGAUCAGUCCUGUAGCUUACUCGCUUAUGCUAUUCUACCUACGCUUAGGAUGUUGAUAGUCACAGCGUGUAC
rnacentral:rRNA from 1 species